AUUGAACGCUGGCGGCAUGCCUUACACAUGCAAGUCGAACGGCAGCGCGGACUUCGGUCUGGCGGCGAGUGGCGAACGGGUGAGUAAUGUAUCGGAACGUACCAUUCAGUGGGGGAUAACGCAGCGAAAGUUGCGCUAAUACCGCAUAUUCUGUGCGCAGGAAAGCAGGGGAUCGCAAGACCUUGCGCUGAUUGAGCGGCCGAUAUCAGAUUAGCUAGUUGGUGAGGUAAAGGCUCACCUAGGCGACGAUCUGUAGCGGGUCUGAGAGGAUGAUCCGCCACACGGGAACUGAGACACGGUCCAGACUCCUACGGGAGGCAGCAGUGGGGAAUUUUGGACAAUGGGCGCAAGCCUGAUCCAGCCAUGCCGCGUGAGUGAAGAAGGCCUUCGGGUUGUAAAGCUCUUUCGGCCGGGAAGAAAUCGUAUGGGUUAAUACCCUGUGCGGAUGACGGUACCGGCAUAAGAAGCACCGGCUAACUACGUGCCAGCAGCCGCGGUAACAC
rnacentral:rRNA from 1 species